AGAUUGAACGCUGGCGGCAUGCCUUACACAUGCAAGUCGAACGGCAGCACGGGAGCAAUCCUGGUGGCGAGUGGCGAACGGGUGAGUAAUAUAUCGGAACGUGCCCAGUCGUGGGGGAUAACGCAGCGAAAGCUGUGCUAAUACCGCAUACGAUCUAUGGAUGAAAGCGGGGGAUCGCAAGACCUCGCGCGAUUGGAGCGGCCGAUAUCAGAUUAGCUAGUUGGUGGGGUAAAAGCCUACCAAGGCGACGAUCUGUAGCUGGUCUGAGAGGACGACCAGCCACACUGGAACUGAGACACGGU
rnacentral:rRNA from 1 species